rnacentral:rRNA from 1 species
AGUGAACGCUGGCGGUAGGCCUAACACAUGCAAGUCGAACGGCAGCACAGUAAGAGCUUGCUCUUACGGGUGGCGAGUGGCGGACGGGUGAGGAAUACAUCGGAAUCUACUUUUUCGUGGGGGAUAACGUAGGGAAACUUACACUAAUACCGCAUACGACCUACGGGUGAAAGCAGGGGAUCUUCGGACCUUGCGCGAUUGGAUGAGCCGAUGUCGGAUUAGCUAGUUGGCGGGGUAAAGGCCCACCAAGGCGACGAUCCGUAGCUGGUCUGAGAGGAUGAUCAGCCACACUGGAACUGAGACACGGUCCAGACUCCUACGGGAGGCAGCAGUGGGGAAUAUUGGACAAUGGGCGCAAGCCUGAUCCAGCCAUACCGCGUGGGUGAAGAAGGCCUUCGGGUUGUAAAGCCCUUUUGUUGGGAAAGAAAAGCAGCAGGUUAAUACCCCGCUGUUCUGACGGUACCCAAAGAAUAAGCACCGGCUAACUUCGUG